rnacentral:rRNA from 1 species
AUUGAACGCUGGCGGCAGGCCUAACACAUGCAAGUCGAGCGGAUGAAGGGAGCUUGCUCCUGGAUUCAGCGGCGGACGGGUGAGUAAUGCCUAGGAAUCUGCCUGGUAGUGGGGGAUAACGUCCGGAAACGGGCGCUAAUACCGCAUACGUCCUGAGGGAGAAGGUGGGGGAUCUUCGGACCUCACGCUAUCAGAUGAGCCUAGGUCGGAUUAGCUAGUUGGUGGGGUAAAGGCCUACCAAGGCGACGAUCCGUAACUGGUCUGAGAGGAUGAUCAGUCACACUGGAACUGAGACACGGUCCAGACUCCUACGGGAGGCAGCAGUGGGGAAUAUUGGACAAUGGGCGAAAGCCUGAUCCAGCCAUGCCGCGUGUGUGAAGAAGGUCUUCGGAUUGUAAAGCACUUUAAGUUGGGAGGAAGGGCAGUAAGUUAAUACCUUGCUGUUUUGACGUUACCAACAGAAUAAGCACCGGCUAACCUCGUG